GUGGAUUAGAUACCCUGGUAGUCCACGCAGUAAACGAUGAUUACUAGCUGUUAGCGAUAUACUGUUAGUGGCUAAGCGAAAGCGAUAAGUAAUCCACCUGGGGAGUACGUUCGCAAGAAUGAAACUCAAAGGAAUUGACGGGGGCCCGCACAAGCGGAGGAACAUGUGGUUUAAUUCGAUGAUACGCGAGGAACCUUACCCGGGCUUGAAAUGCAUCUGACGUAUUUGGAAACAGAUAUUCUAGCAAUAGCAGAUGUGUAGGUGCUGCACGGCUGUCGUCAACU
rnacentral:rRNA from 1 species